UACGUAGGUGGCAAGCGUUGUCCGGAUUUACUGGGCGUAAAGAGCGCGCAGGCGGUCGUUCAAGUCGCGUGUGAAAGCCCCCGGCUCAACUGGGGAGGGUCACGCGAUACUGCUCGACUCGAAGGCAGGAGAGGGUAGUGGAAUUCCCGGUGUAGUGGUGAAAUGCGUAGAUAUCGGGAGGAACACCAGUGGCGAAGGCGACUACCUGGCCUGUACUUGACGCUGAGGCGCGAAAGCUAGGGGAGCAAACGGG
rnacentral:rRNA from 1 species